CUCUUGUGUGUGACAUAGCAAACCCGGGUCAAAGCAAUAUGAAGGGAAAAACUUUUACCAGGGAGGUCCGGUAAUACCUGGAGCCCAACUCCAAAGGGCUCUCAGGCAGAAAGGUCGCCCUAUCUCAGAUCUAUCUCUCCAUCAGCCAGGCUGUACAAUGAAGGUGACCUACAGCAGGGCUGUGGUCAACCUGUCGGGCCUCAGGCAAGAAAAAUUUCUCGGUAUUAUAAACCUUGGGAUUUGGAGACGUAUUUAUCCUUACAGCAGCGACAAACCCAAUUUACCAAUAAAUCUUCAUCCCUGGGAAGAAGAGAAAUGUGAAUGACCAGAGCAACCCUCACUAACUUGUGGAGUAACAGAUUCUAGGAUGCAGCCUAGACCAGAGUUCUUAGAAGAGAAAAACUGAUGUUAGAAGCAAGGAUGGUCUAAUCCAUCAUGAGACCGAGAGACUCCACAGCCAGCAGAGCACAAAGACUCAAAAGAAGCUUCUCUAUGACAGCCUUGGGAGAGAGUUUGUGACUGUGCGGAUAAUUAGCUUCAGACUUCUGGAUUAUGGACUGUUUCAGAAUAAAGUUCUGUUGGGCUGAGCUGCCCAGAUCAUAAUAAUUUGUUCUGGUAACCCUGGAAAACUAACACCCUGACUAAGCAAAAUACCCUUUCCUCCUCUUCUCCUCUUUUGGAUAGAAUUCUUAAAGGAAGAGGCUACUGACCCACAGGCACACUAAUGGACUCGGAAGGAAGCCUGCCUUUCUCUCUAGUUGGUCCCCAGGGCGGGGCCUCAAUUAUGUUUUUGGGUGGGGGAUGCAACUCAAAAAAAACCUGAUUGGCCUGCUUCCUCUCAGGAGACACCAG
ensembl:lncRNA